rnacentral:tRNA from 1 species
GGAUUGUGGCUCAGUGGUAGAGCGCUCGCUAGCACGGGCGGGACCCGGGUUCAAUCCUCAGCACCA